UAGACCCGAAACCGUGUGACCUAUCCAUGACCAGGUUGAAGCACAGGUAAAACUGUGUGGAGGACCGAACCAGUGUCUGUUGAAAAAGGCUUGGAUGAGUUGUGGAUAGCGGUGAAAUUCCAAUCGAACACGGAGAUAGCUGGUUCUCCCCGAAAUAGCUUUAGGGCUAGCGUCACGGUAAAUACUUGCGGAGGUAGAGCACUGAACUGGCUAGGGAUCGAUAAGAUUACCGAACCAUAUCAAACUCCGAAUGCCGUAAGAUAAUACGUGGCAGUCAGACAGUGUGAGAUAAGUCUCAUUGUCGAAAGGGAAACAGCCCAGACCAACCGCUAAGGUCCCCAAGUGCAGAUUAAGUGGGAAAGGAUGUGUCAGUGCACAGACAACCAGGAUGUUGGCUUAGAAGCAGCCAUUCAUUUAAAGAGUGCGUAAUAGCUCACUGGUCGAGUGCCGGCGCGCCGAAAAUAAACGGGGG
rnacentral:rRNA from 1 species